GGUUGUCUCGGCUGGACCGAGAGUAUACGAAUACAAUAUUUAAACCGCUGAUUCAAUUAGCACUCGGUUUUAUUGGGCCAUUUUACGACGCGAAAUUGACAAUCAAACGGACGUUAAGGUGGUAGAAUAUGGAAGUUUAUACAGUAUUUGAUUGAGCAUAGCUGGUGAUGAUGAUGAUGGGAAACAGCACUUAAUGGCUCUCAAUGCGCCCGAUCUCGGAAGCUAAGCGAAUUUGAGCCUGGAUGAGUGCUUUGGAUGGGUGACCACUACGGUUUUUAAAACACGCUGCUGCGACGCUACGUAGAAAUGGAACGGCGCGACAACAUCCAUUGUUGUACUGCACUUGCAUGUUCCCACGCAGUGGUUCUUAUCCUUUACUGCAUAUAUAAUGUAUAAUAAAUGCAUAGCUUUGAAACAAAGUAGUUGUACUUACGUGCCCAUGCUUGCUUUGGGUUUCGUUGAUUUGCCUUCUAAAAAAAAAAUCUUGCCGUGUCUCGCACCCCCAGAAAGGGCAACUCGCACCCCGGGUUAAGAAGAACCACUGCUCCCACGUCUGCGCUCUGGUCUGGCUUUGACAAACACGCACGGACCAGCAAUGCGGUAAUAUUGUUACACAUCUGCAUCAUCAAAGAGGGUCACCACCACCGUCAUCGCGAGGAGGAACAGUUCGGCGCCCGAACGGGGGUGGACGGAGGAGUUAAUCGCUGCUCUGCGGGACUUCUACUGGCGAUGAGUUCACUUGGCACGCGGUUGGUGUUUUGUUCUGAAGAUUUAUUGUUACGUGCACUUC